ACUCCUACGGGAGGCAGCAGUGGGGAAUAUUGGACAAUGGGGGCAACCCUGAUCCAGCCAUGCCGCGUGUGUGAAGAAGGCCUUCGGGUUGUAAAGCACUUUCAGUGGUGAGGAAGGGGUGACGGUUAAUACCCGUCAUCAUUGACGUUAGCCACAGAAGAAGCACCGGCUAACUCCGUGCCAGCAGCCGCGGUAAUACGGAGGGUGCGAGCGUUAAUCGGAAUUACUGGGCGUAAAGCGCGCGUAGGCGGCAAGUUAAGUUGGGUGUGAAAGCCCCGGGCUCAACCUGGGAACUGCAUUCAAAACUGACUAGCUGGAGUACAGCAGAGGAUAGUGGAAUUUCCGGUGUAGCGGUGAAAUGCGUAGAGAUCGGAAGGAACACCAGUGGCGAAGGCGACUGUCUGGGCUGAUACUGACGCUGAGGUGCGAAAGCGUGGGGAGCAAACAGGAUUAGAUACCCCAGUAGUCC
rnacentral:rRNA from 1 species